GGAUAUGCUCUAGUUCACUCUGUUUCGAAACCUCCAGCGCUUUCGUUGCCUCUCUUUCACCCACCUGAUCUUAAUGGCCCUUUUCCUCCUUGCUGUUGCAGAGUUUAAGAAGUGGCUGUUGAUCUUUAUUUGGUGUUUGUGUAUGUGGUUUUGUGUUAUGAGCAGUGUUAAGUGAAUUAUUGGCGACCAGGCUUCGCCGUUUCAAGAGCAACUGCUAUCUCGCUUCGGCUCUCUUAGAUUCUCUCCUUUUUCUUCUACUUUCUUCUCAUCUCGCAAUAGAAGUUCUCACCUUACUUUCACCUUUGAGUCUUCACACUCUAUAUCCUUCCACAAACCUUUCAAUCCCAAAAUUUGUUGUCAGAAUUCAUUGAAUGCCCUCUCUCAGCCAACCAG
rnacentral:sRNA from 1 species